UACGUAGGGGGCUAGCGUUGUCCGGAAUCAUUGGGCGUAAAGCGCGCGUAGGCGGCCCGGUAAGUCCGCUGUGAAAGUCAAAGGCUCAACCUUUGAAUGUCAGCGGAUACUGCCGGGCUAGAGUCCGGAAGAGGCGAGUGGAACUCCUGGUGUAGCGGUGGAAUGCGCAGAUAUCAGGAAGAACACCAACGGCGAAGGCGGCUCUCUGGGACGGUACUGACGCUGAGACGCGAAAAGCGUGGGGAGCGAACAGG
rnacentral:rRNA from 1 species